GAGGGUAUAGCUCAGUGGUAGAGUGUGUGCUUUGCAUGCACGAGGUCCUGGGUUCAAUUCUCAGUACCUCCG
rnacentral:tRNA from 1 species